rnacentral:rRNA from 1 species
CGAGUGGCGGACGGGUGAGUAAUGCUUGGGAAUCUGGCUUAUGGAGGGGGAUAACUACGGGAAACUGUAGCUAAUACCGCGUAGUAUCGAGAGAUUAAAGUGUGGGACCUUCGGGCCACAUGCCAUAGGAUGAGCCCAAGUGGGAUUAGGUAGUUGGUGAGGUAAAGGCUCACCAAGCCGACGAUCAGUAGCCGACCUGAGAGGGUGACCGGCCACAUUGGGACUGAGACACGGCCCAA